UGGUUUCGAUUCAUAAAUGAGGAUUUUUUGGUUAAGAAAAAAAAAAUGUCAAAUUAUGAUUUUUAAUUAUAAUUAUUGAUAAAUAUGAAUUAAUCAAUAAUUAUAAUCCCAACAGCGGGAUGGUGGCUGCUGUGUCCAGAUGCGUUUCUCCAUCAGUAGCUGUUCAUCAGGGGCUUCAGUGGUCUGCAGGCUCACCAUCCAUGCUUUAAAAAACUGGAUUGUAUUUCUACAAAGCGUUUUGUAGCCACAGACUAGCUGGCUGCAUCAUCAUGGACAGUGACACCAGCACUGGUCAGGGCCACAGUGGACUGGAAAGCUCCUUACAGUGCCAAGAACAGGUAAUCAACUUUUUCAUGUUCACUUUUCCACCAUGAAAACACCAUCUCCAUGGAGAUGCAACAUCAUGCUUUAUUUCAGAAGGGAAAAGGUAGAUGGAGUAUCCUAGAUGAAACCUGUUAGAGGCUGCAGGUGGAGGUUCACCUUCCAGCAGGACAACGGCCCUAAA